UAUGAGUGAUGAUGUAAAACCCAACCAGAAGUCUCACUGUGUCUCCUCUACUGAGUCGGACAUAAAUGAUGUUUUAAAGGGAGGGGAGUAAAGAAGGAGGAGCAGUGAAACAAUCCUCUUUUUAACCGUUGUGCUCGUUUCAUUUCAGAUGCAUACUCGAGCUGAGUCCGUUUUUGUGUUGUAUCAAGUAUCUGACUGUAUAAAGCAGCAGUUAAACUGAGGACAUAAUGACCACAGGCUUGCUUCUUCUUCUCCUGGUGCUUUCUGGUUCUCAGGCAUCCCAUUACUUUGGGACAGUGAUGACCUUUACCCCUAAAGAAAGCACGGAUGAUGGAUCUCUAAGGGUGGUCUUUGACUACAAGUUGAGCUUUCGCUCAUGCACAGAUGAAGACAAGUGGAAAUGUGCCAGCGGUGACUGUGGUAGUGAGAGUGUGGAGCUGAACAUCGUGGAUGAAGAGGACAGAGAGUGGUGUCAGAGGGAAGGAGUCAUGACUCGGGAGGUUUCCAGCAACUCUCUGUUUCAGCUAAGUUUGGCUGGUGGUAACUGGAUUAACAACAAAAAUGGUAUUGGUAACUGGAAAGCUAUAACUCAGGUGGAUCUGAGGACUCGAUCUGACACAGCUCAACCCAACAAAUCACCUCAGACCACCAUCCUGCCAGCUCUGAGGGUUUCAAAGCUUUUGUUCAGUGGACCACACAGCGUUGUGAAACAUGUUGUAUCACAUGGAGAAUUCAUCCUGACCUGGACACCAUCUGACAGUGAAGAUGAAGAAAACCAUCCCAUCUGCUUCGUACUCCAGGCAGAGUUAAAUACAGCCAAGUAUCACUCUGAGCUACGCUGUGUGAUUGUGAGCAUUCAAAUUAGACCAAUCACCACUCCUCUGCCAACAACUGUUCUGCCUUCAACCACCCCAGAACAUACAACCACUCUUCUGUUCAUAAAUGAAACAGAAGAUCUGAACGAGGUGCUAUAUGAGUCCACAGGAUCAGGUGACGACAGCAUGGGUGCUGGCAAAGUUGUUGGUAUUGUAUUUGGUGUUGGAGCCGUCGCAGCCAUUGUUGGCAUUGCCUUGUGGGCUUUAAAUCGAAGUUCUCCUGUGCUCUAAAAAAGUUGGAGCUUUGGAUGAAGAUGGGGAAAACAAACCUGUAGAAUCUGGAAAUCACUGGUCUUCUAGCUACUUUCAGCUGCUCGCUUCUUGCGUCCCAUUCCAAUUUCUACAAAUGUAAAUGUUAAAUAAUGCAGGUCUGCAUUUUACUGUCAAAGCCUCACAUAAAUGGUCAAUGAACUGUUUUGAGUCUUUGGCUCCAUCUGUUGGUGAAAUGAUGGCAUUAAUGUACAAGGUUGUUCAUUAAAGCUACAGGCAGACUCCCCCAUGCAGGUGACUCUGUUUUAUCAGAGAAAAAUUUAAAUACUGGCAAAAGGAAAUAUCUACAGAGACAACAUGUGAAAGUAAAACAUCAUGCGUGAGAGCUAAAAACCUCAAAAAAUAUGAAAAUUUUCAACCAACAUGGUACAAAAUGUAGUGUUGUAAGAGGGCGGGUAUUUCUCACCACUGUGGUUUUUUCGUUAGUCGAUCUUCGCUGACAACAUUUUUAUGUUGGACAUUCUAAACCAUAAUCCUAAUCCCAAAUUGGCUCACAGUUGUUAAAAAAAAUAAACAAUAAAAAAAUUAUUUUAUUUACGAUACCAGAUACCAGCUCUCCCUCCACUCACCCCUAAUUGAUUGCAGCAAUGGGAAGCCCUCCCAGAGCCUGGAUCUGCUGGAGGUUUCUUCCUGUUAAAAACAUGUUUUUCUUUCCACUUUCACCAAGUGCUUGCUCAUAAGGGGUCAUCUGAUUGUUGGGGUUUAUCUGUAUUAUUGUAGGGUCUCUACCUUACACACCUUGAGGCACCUGUUCUUGUGAUGCUAUAUAAAUAAAAAUGAAUUGAACUGAACAGAAUACCAGAUCAUAUUAGAUGUUUGAAAUGAGGAAAUGAACCAUUUCAUGUUGGCCUUAACAAGAUCUUUCUAUUCCCUGUGUGAACUUCUUUGUCAUUUUUUUGGAUUUGUUAUCGGUAUCUCUUUAAAAAAAAAUACACAGAUAAUUUUGGAUUUUGGAUUCUCAGCUGAUUAACACAUUUACAUGUUAUGGCAACAUUGAUGUCUGUCAGUAUCCUAAGACUCACAGUAGUCCCUGUUGAACUGUUAUCAACAGGAGCUUUUCAUUUAGCAACUCCUUGACUGCAUUUUAUGACAAUGACCUUUGAAUCUAUGUUAUUGGUUUCCUUAUUUAUUCAGUGUUCAGUGC
ensembl:lncRNA